GAAGGCAACCCAAUCAAUACAUCUUUCUCAUUGAUGUUUCCCUCCUUCCUCCCUUUCGUUCUCUAAAAAUCAAUGGGAAAAAAUGUUCUUGGGUGAGAAUUUUAAAAAUCUAUAUAGUAAGGGGAACUUCUCACCCCAAAGUGACAUGUGGCUUGCAGGCCAAGCAAAGACUAUAUAGGGAGGUAUUACAGCAUUAAGGCCCCCACAGUACUGAUAUGUUGAUCAUGAUUGUAAUAACCUGAAGCAAUAUUGCCUCAACAAUUGGCUCCUUUAGAGAUCCUGUACCCUUCGGACUUUUAUGGGGGGGGGGCUUUAUUUUAAUCUAGAAAUCAAAAUUUCUGCAUUGUUGAGAGCAGGUUGUAUUUUUCUCUUAAGCACUAACCCCUUGCCCUAGAAAGUAUGUUAGGAUGACAAUAAUUUUUUAGUUCAGAGAAACUGAGAGAAUCAUCGAUCAGCUGCCUCUUGCACACCCC